rnacentral:rRNA from 1 species
AAACGGGGAUGCUAUAAUGCAAGUCGAACGCUUCUUUUUCCACCGGAGCUUGCUCCACCGGAAAAAGAGGAGUGGCGAACGGGUGAGUAACACGUGGGUAACCUGCCCAUCAGAAGGGGAUAACACUUGGAAACAGGUGCUAAUACCGUAUAACAAUCAAAACCGCAUGGUUUUGAUUUGAAAGGCGCUUUCGGGUGUCGCUGAUGGAUGGACCCGCGGUGCAUUAGCUAGUUGGUGAGGUAACGGCUCACCAAGGCCACGAUGCAUAGCCGACCUGAGAGGGUGAUCGGCCACAUUGGGACUGAGACACGGCCCAAACUCCUACGGGAGGCAGCAGUAGGGAAUCUUCGGCAAUGGACGAAAGUCUGACCGAGCAACGCCGCGUGAGUGAAGAAGGGUUUCGGGACGUAAAACUCUGUUGUUAGAGAAGAACAAGGGUGAGAGUAACUGUUCAUCCCUUGACGGUAUCUAACCAGAAAGCCACGGCUAACUACGUGCCAGCAGCCGCGGUAAUACGUAGGUGGCAAGCGUUGUCCGGAUUUAUUGGGCGUAAAGCGAGCGCAGGCGGUUUCUUAAGUCUGAUGUGAAAGCCCCCGGCUCAACCGGGGGAGGGUCAUUGGAAACUGGGGAGAAUUGAGUGCAGAAGAAGAGAGUGGAAUUCCAUGUGUAGCGGUGAAAUGCGUAGAUAUAUGGAAGAACACCAGUGGCGAAGGCGGCUCUCUGGUCUGUAACUGACGCUGAGGCUCGAAAGCGUGGGGGAGC